rnacentral:misc_RNA from 1 species
CCGUCAAUUCCUUUAAGUUUCAACCUUGCGGCCGUACUCCCCAGGCGGUCAACUUCACGCGUUAGCUUCGUUACUGAGUCAGUGAAGACCCAACAACCAGUUGACAUCGUUUAGGGCGUGGACUACCAGGGUAUCUAAUCCUGUUUGCUCCCCACGCUUUCGUGCAUGAGCGUCAGUACAGGUCCAGGGGAUUGCCUUCGCCAUCGGUGUUCCUCCGCAUAUCUACGCAUUUCACUGCUACACGCGGAAUUCCAUCCCCCUCUACCGUACUCUAGCUAUGCAGUCACAAAGGCAGUUCCCAGGUUGAGCCCGGGGAUUUCACCUCUGUCUUACAUAACCGCCUGCGCACGCUUUACGCCCAGUAAUUCCGAUUAACGCUUGCACCCUACGUAUUACCGCG